CUCUGCCUUCAAAGAGCCUAUUAUUUAGUUAUUUAGAAAUUAUUGAUUUUCUCUCUCCUCACCAGCUAAAUAAUAGGCUCUUUGAAGGCAGAGA
rnacentral:pre_miRNA from 1 species